CCAGAAUCGGGUGGCGGCCAGUGACUUCCGGCUUCACUUUUGUAUACUAUAGAUGCGUUAUCCAGUCUUAUUUCAGAUCAGUGGAUAGGGGGAACGUCUACCGCUUAUCAGAGCGCUUGCUAGCUGUUAUACUUAUUAAAACUUUGAAGUAAUUAAACAAUAAAGACAAUGAAAAUUUUACAUUGAAACUUUACAUACCAACUAUUAUAUGCAUUAAUUGAAAUUUAGU